rnacentral:rRNA from 1 species
AACGAACGCUGGCGGCAUGCCUAACACAUGCAAGUCGAACGAGUACCUUCGGGUGCUAGUGGCGCACGGGUGAGUAACGCGUGGGAACCUGCCUUUCGGUACGGAAUAACGUCUGGAAACGGACGCUAAUACCGGAUGAGCCCUAUGGGGGAAAGAUUUAUCGCCGAAGGAGCAGCCCGCGUCUGAUUAGGUAGUUGGUGGGGUAAAGGCCUACCAAGCCGACGAUCAGUAGCUGGUCUGAGAGGAUGAUCAGCCACACUGGGACUGAGACACGGCCCAGACUCCUACGGGAGGCAGCAGUGGGGAAUAUUGGACAAUGGGCGCAAGCCUGAUCCAGCCAUGCCGCGUGAGUGAUGAAGGCCUUCGGGUUGUAAAGCUCUUUCGCACACGACGAUGAUGACGGUAGUGUGAGAAGAAGCCCCGGCUAACUUCGUGCCAGCCGCCGCAGUAAGAC